CGUCGUCCGUCUGCACGCUUGCCACCUGCGUCUGGGGCUGACUCGCUUUCGUAGUCGCUUGAGCAGCGCCGUUUUUCUUUCUAGCAUGUGCUUGCCGGAGCCGGGCGGACUUCAGGGUGACCUGACCGGGGUAGCGCUAUGGAAAAUAACGGACCUGUUUAAAGCUGCGCAGCCUGUCCAAUGUCUUCUGUCUCUCUUGGCUGACUCGUGUGUUCCUCACUUCCUCUUCCUCUUCAUCCUGCUGAAGGAAAAUGUGCUGUGUUGUGUAUCCCAUUAAAUAUGGACAUGCAGGCGGAUUUUUUUCAGGUAUGAACCGACGCGUCGUAGACGACCCUUAAUCAGGUGACUAACCGGACAUCUGUCUGCGCAGGCUUUGCAGCUGCGCUGUCAGCAACAACUCCUCGUACUUCAGGAUCUCGAACUGGAUCUCGUAGAGCUGCAGUUGCAACUCGUAGUAUAACGCCUCUAACCGAUCCAGACGCGCCAUCGCGUCCUCGCCGUCCUGGAGCCCCUGCAUCUGAGACAGAAAACAGACAUCUCCUUGGCACGCAUUAGUUGCAGUGUCUCCUUGGAAACAGAAUACUGGAGCUUCUCCAUGCGCUCCACCGCCGCGCCCCACGCCGCCUUCCCGAACUUCCUCUGGUCGGCCCGCAUGCGCUCGUACAUCACUGAAACGAACGCCGUCAUUAGGCACAUUCGACCUGGUGCAGUGAGGAACACGGACCCUGCGGCUCCGCUUCCUGAAAGUGUUCUCGACUAGAGGAGGUCUCGUGAGGAAAAAAACGAGCACCGCUGUCUAAUGUGUCAGGAAGACGAGGCGAGAUUCUCGGUUCCUGCGUGUGAGAGAUUUCAGUGCCGAGCAGCACGGCUUCGACAUCAUCGGUACUUUCUUCUCCUGUUCUCUCUGACCGUGAUCUAGUCACAGAUGCGUAAUUACUCGACAAACACAAACCGGCGCGACUCGCAGAGGCUCGGGAAUGUCAUAAGCUUAUUUCUUUUCCUCCUUACUUGAAAGGACAGAAUGAAUGUUGCAGGUUUACAAAGAGAUCAGAUCUGAAACAACUUUACAAAGCAGCGAUGAUUUCCGGUGAUUCUGGAGUUCGUCCGGGUUUCGUAGCUAAUUAUAUGCAUGUACACAUGGGAAAUGAUUAAGGGGUGUGUGUGUGUGUGUGUGUGAGAGAGAGAGAGAGCGAGAGAUCAUCAUGUUUUACUACCUUUCUGUGCCCGUGCUGUGGUCUCAAAGUACUUCACAGUGAGGUCCUGGAUAGACAGCACUGCGGUGUGAGCCUUCCUCUGCCAAUCCUCAUCCUCCCUCCUGAGCGCCUCGAUUCGACGCGGACCCAGAUAAUCCGUCUCCAGGGAGAUCUGAACACAAAACACACACAAACACACAGAUUAAACUAAAUGUUCCACAGCGCAUGCUCAUAGUGCAGAAUUUUAACAACACAGCUGUCAAAUCCUCGUCCUGUUCUCACACCCUGGUCUGAGGAAACCUGUGUUCGUGCUCAUGCCAGGAACGGGGAACAUUGAAAUGUGGGGAACAUCGAAAUGUGGAGAGCACCGAGCGGUUCAUGACUGGGUGCCAAACCCUUUUGAAACGGUUCAGGAACCGUAGGAACGUUUCCACUAGAGGAACCGGAGCUGUUUUUCAUUUCAGCGAGGUUUUGGAAUAAAAAGGUGUCUUUAUUACACUUCUUACAUCAUGUCAGAACAAUGAUGAGAAUGAGUACAGAGCAGUUAUUUUUACAUCCUGGUCACAAGUCCUGCGGUGCUCUGGAUAUGUAAACCAGGAACUCAUCCAGAAUAUGUCUACUUAUUUACUUACACACACACACUCACACACACACAAACACACACUCAAACACUCACCCACUUACACACACACACGCACUCACUCACACUCACUCGCGCACACACAUACACACACAUUCACACACACAGGCCAUGUGUGCAUAUUUCCAGGCAGACACAGCAAGCCUUGAGAAAGCCUGCGACUGUCACCUGCUUAGUGUCGGCUCUUCCUCGAGCUGUAUCUUGCGUAAACAAGACCACUUUAAUUAUGGCUCCCCCUGAGGCCUUAUACAGCUUUAGCCUACUUAGUAAAUAAAGACUCAGAGAAGCUCUCAGGCUGCGUCUCAACAACAACCUGCUACGUACACUGACGGUUAACGGCUUCAGAGAAAACGGGGUUUUAUUCUUCUUCUGUUGUUUAGCCUGAGGUCAGUUCACCUGAGAGGUCAAAAACAUAUGAGCAUAAACCUUCUGUCUCGCACCUGUCUCACACACACACACACCCACGCGCACACACACAAAAACACGCGCGCACACACACGCACACACACAAACCAACACGCACACACACAAACCAACACGCACACACACAACCACACACACACACAACCACACACACACAAAAACACACAAACACCCCCCCUACACAAACACAAACAAACACACACCCACAAACAAACACCCACACGUACACACACACACCACAGAUGGAUGUAGUAACAAGGAACACCUUUAUUAAACCAUUCUACAUUA